UAUUGUGUUCAGAUAGCUUCUGUGCCUUU
rnacentral:piRNA from 1 species